rnacentral:rRNA from 1 species
UACGGAAGGCAGCAGGGGGAAUAUUGCACAAUGGGCGAAAGCCUGAUGCAGCUAUGCCGCGUGUAUGAAGAAGGCCUUAGGGUUGUAAAGUACUUUCAUCGGGGAGGAAAAAACAAAACUAAUAAUUUUAUUUCUUGACGUUACCCGAAAAAGAAGCACCGGCUAACUCCGUGCCAGCAGCCGCGGUAAUACGGAGGGUGCUAGCGUUAAUCAGAAUUACUGGGCGUAAAGAGCACGUAGGUGGUUUUUUUAAAGUCAGAUGUGAAAUCCCUGGGCUUAACCUAGGAACUGCAUUUUGAAACUGAAAUACUAGAGUAUCGUAGAGGGAGGUAGAAUUCUAGGUGUAGCGGUGAAAUGCGUAGAUAUCUGGAGGAAUACCUGUGGCGAAAGCGGCCUCCUAAACGAAUACUGACACUGAGGGUGCGAAAAGCGUGGGGAGCAAACAGGGAUUAGAUACC